AUUUGUUCUUCUUGAUUUUGCAGUACAUAGUCUUCUUGGUUUGCUUCAAAAUAUGGAGUCCGUGCAAUACUUGAACCUGAAGCCAGAAAAAGCAAGGAAAAAAAAAAGAAAAAAAGAAGGCAUUGAACGCUGAUUUACCUAAACUGAGGAAGAUCAACAAUGAAAGUAAUGCAGCCUGGAGGCAAACGCAGGUACCCAUCUCUACAAAUUAAUUCCAAUGCUUGGUUUUGGAUCUUCAAAGGUCUUUGAACAAUGACAGGACCAGAGAUUUGAUAUGAAAUGGGGUUCUGUAAAGAAGAAUGAGCCUUUUUGGCGGCAAGCAAUAUAUACAGGGAGGUGGGGCGACAGAAUCUAAGCUUUCUUGGAUCAUCAAGAGUGAGAAAGAAGGGGAGGAGAAUAUGAGGAAACUUGAGAGAGGAGGCAUUGUAUAUUUGAAUAGUUGGGAAGCGCAAGCAAGGGAAGGUUUAGAAAACGAAAAAAGGUAUAUGGAGAAGGAAAGGCCUGCUGUGAACUCUAUACUGAUUCUGCAGUUUCGUGUGGUGCCAUUUCCCUUCUUCUCUUUAGAGCUUCAGCUUUAUGUUACUGAAUCAGAAAGUUAAAGGUGGGGUUGGGUUAUGGGUUAUGGGUUAUGGGUUAUGGGUUAUAUGGCCUAUGGGCGAUAGAUUUGUGUGCACAAGUUGCAUCUUGUAGUUUGUGAUCAAGAAUAUUGUCCCCUGGAGAAUCUGCUUAGGUACCAAAACAAGAAUCAAAUCCUUCUCUCGCUGCCUCCAUUUUCUGUUGUGGCAUUUGAUUCCUUCUUUUAGAAACAAGCCCACUUAUCCACUCAACUGCCAGAUACUACUCAUCCAAUAUUCUAACACAACAUAACUGACAUCUCUCCGCAGACUUUCUGAGUGGUUCGUAUGAUCAUACUGCCGCAAGCCACACACCGAGAUCUUAGCCCCCAAACUACUUCCCAUAUUUGGGGCCUUUUCUUACAAUUUUGGUUGAUUUUUUCUUUGUAUCAUA